rnacentral:rRNA from 1 species
AGUGAACGCUGGCGGUAGGCCUAACACAUGCAAGUCGAACGGCAGCACAGUAAGAGCUUGCUCUUACGGGUGGCGAGAGGCGGACGGGUGAGGAAUACAUCGGAAUCUACUUUUUCGUGGGGGAUAACGUAGGGAAACUUACGCUAAUACCGCACACGACCUACGGGUGAAAGCAGGGGAUCUUCGGACCUUGCGCGAUUGAAUGAGCCGAUGUCGGAUUAGCUAGUUGGCGGGGUAAAGGCCCCCCAAGGCGACGAUCCGUAGCUGGUCUGAGAGGAUGAUCAGCCCCACUGGAACUGAGACACGGUCCAGGCUCCUACGGGAGGCAGCAGUGCGGAAUAUUGGACAAUGGGCGCAAGCCUGAUCCAGCCAGACCGCGUGGGUGAAGAAGGCCUUCGGGUUGUAAAGCCCUUUUGUUGGGAAAGAAAAGCAGCAGGUUAAUACCCCGCUGUUCUGACGGUACCCAAAGAAUAAGCACCGGCUAACUUCGUG